rnacentral:rRNA from 1 species
CAGUCGCCGCGGUAAUACGUAGGUGGCAAGCGUUGUCCGGAAUUAUUGGGCGUAAAGGGCUCGCAGGCGGUUUCUUAAGUCUGAUGUGAAAGCCCCCGGCUCAACCGGGGAGGGUCAUUGGAAACUGGGAAACUUGAGUGCAGAAGAGGAGAGUGGAAUUCCACGUGUAGCGGUGAAAUGCGUAGAGAUGUGGAGGAACACCAGUGGCGAAGGCGACUCUCUGGUCUGUAACUGACGCUGAGGAGCGAAAGCGUGGGGAGCGAACAGGAUUAGAGACCCCCGUAGUCCCUGUCUCUUAUAA